GUUUGACAUUUGAUUUUUCACAAAAGCAUGAAUCACCAAAUUCAUCAUUCUGGGGAUAGUUUCACUCAAGAACAUAUUCACUCCUGCAGCAUUCUACAACUCUAAAACUUUGCACAACAACCCAAGGAGAGGAGCUUCCAGAACCAAUGGUGUUGAUUGACCGGUAAAUCACAGGCUUCAAAAAAAUGAUCGUAAUAUUCACCACUGAGGGUGUCUAGCUCAUCUUAUGGCAAGAUGGCAAAAAAAACUUUUUAACUUUUGUCAGCCAGCGGUUCUCUGCAAAGUCCAAAAGCUGCAGUGGGAUCAAGAGUCUAGCUUUGCAAUUGGCAUGGUACCGGAGCUAUAGAUUCGAAGCCCAUCUUCUCUUCAACUCAGAACAUCUGCACUCAAAAUUUGCAUAUCUGAACAAAACUUUCACCACUUCCUAGCCCCUAACUCGCUCCAUUCCUGUUUCCGAAAUCCUUGAGCACAAUUGCUCCGACCCUCUCACUUUGCGCCAAAACAGACCAAAUGGGCGACUGCACAGCCGUCAACCACUUGAAAUCAUCAGCGUUGCACCAAUUGCCAGUGUCCUACGCCAA
rnacentral:misc_RNA from 1 species